rnacentral:rRNA from 1 species
UCGCCAGACUCCUACGGGAGGCAGCAGUGGGGAAUAUUGCACAAUGGGGGAAACCCUGAUGCAGCGACGCCGCGUGAGUGAAGAAGUAUUUCGGUCUGUAAAGCUCUAUCAGCAGGGAAGAAAAUGACGGUACCUGACUAAGAAGCCCCGGCUAACUACGCGCCAGCAGCCGCGGUAAUACGUAGGGGGCAAGCGUUAUCCGGAUUUACUGGGUGUAAGGGAGCGUAGACGGCAGUGCAAGUCUGGAGUGAAAGGCGGGGGCUCAACCCCCGGACUGCUCUGGAAACUGUACGGCUGGAGUGCAGGAGAGGUAAGUGGAAUUCCUAGUGUAGCGGUGAAAUGCGUAGAUAUUAGGAGGAACACCAGUGGCGAAGGCGGCUUACUGGACUGUAACUGACGUUGAGGCUCGAAAGCGUGGGGAGCAAACAGGAUUAGAUACCCCGGUAA